GUGAAAUGCCUUAGAAUGAAAGCUGUGAGCAAUCGCAGCGCCACAGGAUGGGCCUGUGGCCUAUCAGUUAGUUAGUGAGGUAACGGCUCACCAAGGCUAAGACGGGUAGCCGGACUGAGAGGUCGGUCGGCCACACUGGAACUGAGAUACGGUCCAGACUCCUACGGGAGGCAGCAGUGAGGAAUUUUGCGCAAUGGGCGAAAGCCUGACGCAGCGACACCGCGUGGGGGAAGAAGGCUUUCGAGUUGUAAACCCCUUUCGUGAGGGAAAAAGCCCUGAGUUUAUCGAAGGGUGAUGGUACCUCAGGAAGAAGCCACGGCUAACUCUGUGCCAGCAGCCGCGGUAAGACAGAGGUGGCAAGCGUUGUUCGGAUUUACUGGGCUUAAAGGGCGUGUAGGCGUCCUUGUAUGUCAGAUGUGGAAUCCUCAGGCUUAACCUGAGAAUUGCAUUUGAAACUGCUUGGAUUGAGUCAGGCAGGGGAGGGCAGAAUUCCUGGUGGAGCGGUGAAAUGCGUAGAUAUCAGGAGGAAGGCCGGUGGCGAAGGCGGCCCUCUAGGCCAUGACUGACGCUGAGGCGCUAAAGCGUGGGUAGAAACAGGAUUAGAUACCCUGGUAGUCACGCCCUAACGGUGGGACUGGGUGUGGGUGCGAUAGCAUCUGUGCGAAGGGAAACAUUAAGUACCCGCCUGGGGAGUCCGCCGCAAGGCUAAACUCAAAGGAUUGACGGGGCCGCACAGCGUGGAGCUGUGGUUAUUCGCCCUCGCGAAAACUUACUGGGUUGAAUGCAGUAGAGGACCUGAAAGGUACGAGCCGAGCAUCGGAAGCUGCCAGGGCUGCUGGCUUCGCAGCUCUGCCUGAGGUGUGGGUAA
rnacentral:rRNA from 1 species